rnacentral:lncRNA from 1 species
AUGCCACACACGGAGGGCACAGGAACCAUAUUGCCCCCUCCUUGCUCCUGGAGCACCAAACAGAGGAGACACUGGUUCUGGCCAGCACCAGAACUGGCCUCUCCCGGGAUCCCUGAGCGCUGGCCUCUUCCUGGGGGUUGGAAAUCUAGUGCUGAGAAUGUCAACCUGCAAGGUAGGAGCCGUGGGUUUGUUCAGUUUUGGUACCCUGAAGGAGUGUGUGUGUGUGUGUGUGUGUGUGUAGAAUGAGCAUCCAAUCAUACAUUCACUUGUUCAACACACUUGUACUGGGCCCCUGCUGUGGUGCAGGUAACAUGCAGGACUCGUUAUCUUACUGACCUUUCUGAUUUUGUGAGGUCAUGCCUCUCACCCCAUUUUACUCCCAGUGACCCGGAGACUGGGAGAAGCCAAGUGUGAACGAAGCGAUGUUAGGGUUGGGAUGAGGCCCUAGCUCUUCUACUCAAAGUCAGUUGCCUACCUAAUGUAACGAUUAUGUCCCCGUUUUGUGUCAGAGUCUGGGCCAGGGGGUCUAGACAGAGCAUCUUCUUUAAUCCCACCUUUGGAGGUUGGCAGAAUUUGCCCAACUCUACAGAUGAGGCUGUGGGGGCCCAGAGGAGUUCAAUGGCAAGCCCAUAGCCACUCGUCUCUGUGCUAUAAUCCCUCCCUGCCACCUCUGCUCAUAAUGCAUUUUUAGAAAACCAGCCAUAUUGAGAUGUAAUUCAUAUAUACAAUACACCCAUCUAAUGUGCACAAUUCAAUGGUCUUUAAUAUACUUAUAGAAGUGUGCAAUUAUUUCCAUAAUACAUUUUAGAAUAUUUUCAUUACCCAUAGGGAAACCCCACAGCCUUGAACUGUCACCUCUCCACCCCUGUACUCCUGGGCCCAGGGGCAAGCACUAAUCUACUUCUUAUCUCUAUUGAUUUGCCUAUUCUGGAAAUUUCACACAAGUGGAAUAACACAGUAUGUGGUCUUUGGUGACUGGCUGUUUUCAUUUUGUAUGAUGUUUUCAAGGUUCACUUAUAGUGUAGAAUAUAUCAGAUCUCUGUGCCCUUUUAUGGCCGAAUAAUAUUCCAUACUGUGGAUAGACCACAUUUUGUUUAUCCAUUCAUCAGUUGAUGAACUUGUAGGUUGUUUCUAUUUUUGGCUAUUAUGAAUACUGCUCAUGAUGCAUUUUUAAAAGAAAAUAGGAAGCCAGAAAACAGGGGAGACCCAAGGCCAGCUGCAUGCACUGGCGAUCUAGACAGCAAGGACUGGCUGGUCUGACAGUGGUCACUGUGGGGAAAGGCUGGCCAAACCUCCUUCUGGCCUGGGGUUGCCCCCAGGGCUUAUAGGGCCUCGCUCAGGGUGGCUUCUCUAAGGUGGGCUUUCCUCUCCAGGCCACAAGCUUUGCGACCUAAGUCACCAGAGCUUGCCCAAUGGGAGAAGCAGGUGCAGUAUUUUCUCUGGACACUCCUGCUGCCAUCAUCCCUGGCAUGGCCUUGCACCCCAGCCUUUGAAUCAAUUUAACACUGGCCAGGGAGCAAUUUAACAGGUUCCAUAGGUCUCUGUUGCUCUGCUGGAGAGGAAAUUCAUUUGCAGGGUAAUUUUUAAAGCCUUUUAUGUAAGUCUUAUUCAAGAAAUGAACCUUUUGAUUCCUCAAGGAAGAAAAGGUAAAACUUGAAAGGUGUUAAUUACCUUGCCUAUGAAAUGGGCAAAAUAUGAAUUCUGGCUCUAGGGGGAAAGAUUGUUGGCACAUCAAGGACCCAUACUUCUUUAUUCUAUGGCUGGGAUGAUCAAAAGUUGAUGGAAAUGUGGCCUUGACCCCAAAUCAGGCACGUUGCCCACAUAUAGUUGGUUCCCAAAACAUUUUUUUUUAAUUUUUU